rnacentral:misc_RNA from 1 species
GUGAUUAAAUCGAGAGCGUCUUAAUUGACCUCUCACCCUUCACAUCCACAUACACCCUGUGAAUCGUUUGGCUUUUCAUUAAUAGAGCGCAAGCUCGACAAGUGAAAAGUCAUCAUUUAUACAUACCCCAGUCUUAUGAAUGUAACAGUUUUAAUAAACAUAAUA